CCUACGGGACGCAGCAGUGGGGAAUAUUGCGCAAUGGGGGAAACCCUGACGCAGCAACGCCGCGUGAGUGAAGAAGGCCUUCGGGUUGUAAAGCUCUUUAAUCAGGGACGAAGAAUGACGGUACCUGAAGAAUAAGCUCCGGCUAACUCCGUGCCAGCAGCCGCGGUAAUACGGAGGAUGCGAGCGUUAUCCGGAUUUAUUGGGUUUAAAGGGUGCGCAGGCGGGAGAUCAAGUCAGCGGUAAAAUGUCGGGGCUCAACCCCGGCCGGCCGUUGAAACUGGUUUUCUAGAGUUGGAGAGAAGUAU
rnacentral:rRNA from 1 species